GACGAACGCUGGCGGCGUGCUUAACACAUGCAAGUCGAACGGGCCUGCCUGGCUUUGGUUGGGUGGGUGAGUGGCGAACGGGUGAGUAACACGUGAGUAACCUGCCCUCUUCUCUUGGAUAACUGCUUGAAAGGGCGGCUAAUACGGGAUGUUCUGGCUGCCUCGCAUGGGGUGGUUUGGAAAGAUUCGGCCUGGUUUUGGUUGUUUUGGUGGGGGAUGGGCUCGCGGCUUAUCAGCUUGUUGGUGGGGUGAUGGCCUACCAAGGCGGUGACGGGUAGCCGGCCUGAGAGGGUGGACGGUCACACUGGGACUGAGACACGGCCCAGACUCCUCGGGAGGCAGCAGUGGGGGAUUUUGCACAAUGGGCGCAAGCCUGAUGCAGCGACGCCGCGUGAGGGAUGGAGGCCUUCGGGUUGUGAACCUCUGUCGCCGGUGAUGUAGGCUCUGCUUUGUGGGUGGGGUUGACG
rnacentral:rRNA from 1 species